rnacentral:rRNA from 1 species
UUAUAUGUGCAUACCACCCUGAACGCACCCAGUGUCGUCUGAUCUCGUGAAGCGAAGCAGGGUCGGGCCUGGUUAGUACUUGGAUGGGAGACCGCCUGGGAAUACCAGGUGCCAUAGGCU